rnacentral:rRNA from 1 species
GACGAACGCUGGCGGCGUGCUUAACACAUGCAAGUCGAACGUGAUUUUUGUGGAAAUUCUUUCGGGAAUGGAAAUGAAAUGAAAGUGGCGAACGGGUGAGUAACACGUGAGCAACCUACCUUACACAGGGGGAUAGCCGUUGGAAACGACGAUUAAUACCGCAUGAGACCACAGAAUCGCAUGAUAUAGGGGUCAAAGAUUUAUCGGUGUAAGAAGGGCUCGCGUCUGAUUAGCUAGUUGGAAGGGUAAAGGCCUACCAAGGCGACGAUCAGUAGCCGGUCUGAGAGGAUGAACGGCCACAUUGGAACUGAGACACGGUCCAAACUCCUACGGGAGGCAGCAGUGGGGAAUAUUGCACAAUGGGGGAACCCUGAUGCAGCGACGCCGCGUGAGCGAAGAAGGUUUUCGAAUCGUAAAGCUCUGUCCUAUGAGAAGAUAAUGACGGUAUCAUAGGAGGAAGCCCCGGCUAAAUACGUGCCAGCAGCCGCGGUAAUACGUAUGGGGCGAGCGUUGUCCGGAAUUAUUGGGCGUAAAGGGUACGUAGGCGGUUUUUUAAGUCAGGUGUGAAAGCGUGAGGCUUAACCUCAUUAAGCACUUGAAACUGGAAGACUUGAGUGAAGGAGAGGAAAGUGGAAUUCCUAGUGUAGCGGUGAAAUGCGUAGAUAUUAGGAGGAAUACCGGUGGCGAAGGCGACUUUCUGGACUUUUACUGACGCUCAGGUACGAAAGCGUGGGGAGCAAACAGG